CAUCUGGCUAACCCAUCUCGCGAGACGGGGAGCCGGCGCGAGGACAUGGGAGACGGCGGCGCAGGAAUGAGGACCAUGGCCAUGACGUCGGCGCGAGGACCUGCAGGCGAAGACGCCGACGCAAGGUCCAGGAGGCAAAGCCCAGGCUGGUCUUGAUCGUAGUGGCCGCUCGCCCACGUACGUCCCCGCCGCCGCCGCCGUGAGGUUCUGGAGGGGACGACGCCGGCGCGAGGUCUUGGAGGUCCCGGCUGCGCUUGGUCGUAAUGAUGGACGAACAGAGAGUUCGUGUAUUCUCUACGACUGCAAAAACGACGUGGAUUAAGGCAGCCACCGAUUCAAACAGUGAGCAUCAGGUACUCUAUUUCAGCAGUCUAUUUUAUCAAAUGUAGUUUAAACUCGUUGUGUUUGGUCUAGCAGAUCCUUUUUCCGAGGAGUCUACCAGAUUUAGUAUGGACCUUUUGUUCUAUCUUUGUAUACAUGGCAGUAGUCAUCAAGGAAAUUUUAGACAAUUGUACAACCCGACAGAGGAAAGGAUUUCAUAAUACUGAUUUUAUCAUUUCCUUUGCACCCGCUCUUAUUCGACCAUGCUUUCCUACACAUCACACAAAAUUAAGUGUACUUAGGAUUGAUUUAGCGCAGUUGCAAUAGUUCUGCACCUGGUAUAUCAUGCAGUAGCCAGCUCCAUGUUUCUUUCUAUUCAAUGCAAUUGAUGAUUUAGUUUAGUUCGUCAUUAGGGCACUAUAAUCAAUGUUUAGUAGCAAUCACCGUUGUUUACCUCCAACUCGCCGGCCAGCCACCCAGAUCUACCUCAUGUCUCGUUGGAUUGCCGGACAGCCUCUGUCGUCUACCUCGCCCCUCUCUGGACAACAUGGUCAUCAAACUCUUUCUCACCGGGCAGCCACCGCCAUCUACCUCUGCCUCAUAGUUAAUUGUGUGCUAGCAAUUCCUCCGGAGAACUUGUUAGGUUAUUCUAACUCUACCAUGUAUCCAUGAUCUUGUUUUCUGAAUAUGUAAUCUUUUUAGUGAUUUUCAUUUCAUUUUAUUUUUCAUGGCGCUUCCAUGAUUUAUUUCAUUUUCUGGUAUAUAUUUUCAAAGAUUUUUAUGCUUUUCCCUAUGGCCAUGGUGUGAGAGCAUACUACUAGCGGGUUGGGCGUUGCACUGAAGAAGUUUAUGCCAAAAAGAACUAAAAGUAGACGCAAAUUAAAAAGCGGGAGCAUUUUCGGUCAAAAAUUGUUGAAAAAAGAAAGUUUCCAUAAAAGUUCUCAAAAAUUCACACUACCCUCUAUUCAAUCUGGGAAAGUUUUUUAGAAGUUUUGGCGAAUAAAAAAAGACAAAAGCAAAAUUCAAAUUCAGGACCAUUUUGGCUCAAAAUUUGCCCAGAAAACAAGAUUUCAGAAAACUAAAAACAAUCUAAAAAAUCCACACUAUUCUUAGCUCAUUCAAUCUGGGAAAGUUUCAAGAAGUUUUACCAAACAGAAAAAAACUAGAAACAAAAUUAAAAUUCAGGAGCAUUUUGGCUCAAAAUUUAGGAAGAAAAAAGUUAUGACUCCUCGCUUAGUGCCUAGGCGGUGCUUAAGCGCCCUAGGCGCGACCUAGGUGGUAAUACAGUUUUUAUCAUGGUGUAUUUGUUAGUAUUAUAUGUGUGUUGAUAUUAAUUUAGGGCAUAUAAAUAAGUUAACUUCUAGCUACUGCCAUUUGAAUAUGGCCCGUUUGGCAUAUCAGCCCAAUAUCGUAUGACUCCUCGCUUGGGUAGACAAUUCCUUGCUUGCCCUUCCUAGACUUUUAUUUAUGCCCUAUGCGAGGCAUUUGGCCAUCGCCUAGCGCCUAGGCGUGCCUAAGCAUCUCCUAGGCACUGCCUUUUCCAGCAGAGGGCCCAUAUGAUAAUUAUGGGAUUGGACGACACAUAGUGCUAGUUGUGGGAUCAGACGAACCUAGUGCUAGUUAUGGGACCGGACAACCCAUCAUGAUGCUUAUAGAUCAAGAUCACCAACAGUGCUAAGUUCUGGGUUCGGGUGACCCAUAGUGCUAGUUGGGGGUCAAACGACUCAUAGUGUUAGUUGUGAGUCCAGAUGACCCAUAGUGCUAGUCGUGGAUUUGGACGACCCAUGGUAUUAUUAGCGUGAUCGGACACUAUCGAUCUUAUUCGUUCGGGCACACUACUUUUGAUAUUAAUUGUCCAAAACCACAGGUAUUGGUCUUAGAUGUCGGGCCCACAAGUAUUGUUCUUAGUCAUUCGGGUUUACUACUGUCGGUCCUACUCGUUCGGGCUUACUACUUCAAUCUUUGUCGUUCGAGAUGAGAAGUAUCGAUCUUAGUCAUUCAGGUUCACAAGUAUCAAUCUUAAUCGUUCGGGCUCACAAGUACCAAUCUUAGUCGUUUUCAUCCACAAGCAUCGAUCUUAGUUGUCCAGACCCACAAGUAUCUAUCUUACUCGUUCGGGUUGUGCCUAUCGAUGUUAGUCGUCCCAACCCACAAUUAUUGGUCGUACCUGUUUGGGCUCACUAGUGUCGCUCUUAGUUGGUUUUUUGCCAUGAACUAGGAGCUUUAUUAACUUAUCAAAAGUCGGUUACAAUCUGCCCGUAGGCUACUGAUAAGAAAAUCGGGACUAUUGUCAAACCAACUCUCAGUUCCCUCGAGUGCACAUGCACGCUUAGCGCACUGAUGAGCCGGGAAGUUCGGGUUGCGCCCGGCAUGGGUAACCGAAAAGGAAUCAAAGUUUGUGACUAUCUUCUCUAACUAUUGUAUGAUAGGCGCGGCAACUAAACGGGUAUUGUUGCGCGAGGACCAAACGGGUAUUGUUACACCGACCCAUCACCGGCCACCGGUGGUCCAUCACCUGCUUCGCCUGACUGAGAAAUCCUUGCGGUGUUUCGAAGAAGUCGUGGCUGGAAAUUCCGAAACUGCUGCACCGAUGGUGGUGUGAUGCCGGCGAUGGGUCCGCUGGCGAUUCAGUAUGCGAGGAUGUCGCUGCCAACUCGAGGGAAAUAAUUUGGUGAAAUAUUGAUUGCGAGGGUUUG